rnacentral:rRNA from 1 species
ACAUGCCUACAACAUAGUGCUAAUGCAACAGAUCUCAUUAGAACUCCGUAGUUAAGCGCACUCACGCUAGAGUAGUACUGGGAUGGGUGACGACCUAGGAAGUCCUAGUGUUUUACAUGCC